rnacentral:rRNA from 1 species
ACUCCUACGGGAGGCAGCAGUGGGGAAUAUUGCACAAUGGGCGCAAGCCUGAUGCAGCCAUGCCGCGUGUAUGAAGAAGGCCUUCGGGUUGUAAAGUACUUUCAGCAGUGAGGAAGGUGGGUAUGUUAAUAGCAUAUUCAUUUGACGUUAGCUGCAGAAGAAGCACCGGCUAACUCCGUGCCAGCAGCCGCGGUAAUACGGAGGGUGCGAGCGUUAAUCGGAAUUACUGGGCGUAAAGCGCAUGCAGGUGGUUUGUUAAGUCAGAUGUGAAAGCCCGGGGCUCAACCUCGGAAUUGCAUUUGAAACUGGCAAACUAGAGUACUGUAGAGGGGGUAGAAUUUCAGGUGUAGCGGUGAAAUGCGUAGAGAUCUGAAGGAAUACCGGUGGCGAAGGCGGCCCCCUGGACAGAUACUGACACUCAGAUGCGAAAGCGUGGGGAGCAAACAGGAUUAGAUACCCUGGUAAGGCUACU